GUGUCUGGUGGGUAGUUUGACUGGGGCGGUCUCCUCCUAAAGAGUAACGGAGGAGCACGAAGGUUGGCUAAUCCUGGUCGGACAUCAGGAGGUUAGUGCAAUGGCAUAAGCCAGCUUGACUGCGAGCGUGACGGCGCGAGCAGGUGCGAAAGCAGGUCAUAGUGAUCCGGUGGUUCUGAAUGGAAGGGCCAUCGCUCAACGGAUAAAAGGUACUCCGGGGAUAACAGGCUGAUACCGCCCAAGAGUUCAUAUCGACGGCGGUGUUUGGCACCUCGAUGUCGGCUCAUCACAUCCUGGGGCUGAAGUAGGUCCCAAGGGUAUGGCUGUUCGCCAUUUAAAGUGGUACGCGAGCUGGGUUUAGAACGUCGUGAGACAGUUCGGUCCCUAUCUGCCGUGGGCGCUGGAGAACUGAGGGGGGCUGCUCCUAGUACGAGAGGACCGGAGUGGACGCAUCACUGGUGUUCGGGUUGUCAUGCCAAUGGCACUGCCCGGUAGCUAAAUGCGGAAGAGAUAAGUGCUGAAAGCAUCUAAGCACGAAACUUGCCCCGAGAUGAGUUCUCCCUGAGACUUAGAGUCUCCUGAAGGAACGUUGAAGACGACGACGUUGAUAGGCCGGGUGUGUAAGCGCAGCGAUGCGUUGAGCUAACCGGUACUAAUGAACCGUGAGGCUUAACCUUACA
rnacentral:rRNA from 3 species